rnacentral:misc_RNA from 1 species
UGUAAACCAGACCCAGCUCCUCUCCUGCAUAUCUGUUCAACUUGGGAAUUUCAGCCUAAUGAAGUCAUGAUGGUUGGUGAUAGCCUUAAAGAUGAUGUUGCUUGUGGGAAACGAGCUGGAGCAUUCACAUGCUUACUUGAUGAAAAAGAGAGAUACGGUUCUGCUGAUUUCACCAGCUUGGAUGUAGAACCAGAUUUCAAGGUGUCUUCCCUGUCUGAAGUUCAUUCUCUA